GUGCUCACUUUGGCAGCACAUAUACUAAAAUUGGAAUGAUACAGAGAAGAUUAGCA
rnacentral:snRNA from 1 species